rnacentral:rRNA from 1 species
GAUUAUCUGUUUGAUUGUCUUGCCCAUUGGAUAACCGUGGGAAAUCUAGAGCUAAUACAUGCAGUUUAUUGGCGUAGUUGAAAGACUAUGUCAAAGCAUUUAUUAGACUUAACCAACUACUAUACGCAAGUAUGGUAAGGCGAAUCUAGAUAACUUUGCUGAUCGUAUGGCCCUGUGCCGACGACGUUUCAAUUGAGUUUCUGCCCUAUCAAUUUGUUGGUAAGGUAUUGGCUUACCAAGGUUGCAACGGGUAACGGGGAAUCAGGGUUCGAUUCCGGAGAGGGAGCCUGAGAAACGGCUACCACAUCCAAGGAAGGCAGCAGGCGCGCAAAUUACCCAAUCUAGACAGUAGGAGGUGGUGAAGAGAAGUACUUAGUGGUGGCCUUAAUGGUCCCAACUAGGAAUGAACGUAAUUUAAGCAAUUCGAUGAGUAACUACUGGAGGGCAAGUCCUGGUGCCAGCAGCCGCGGUAAUUCCAGCUCCAGUGGCGUGAUUUAAAGUUGCUGCGUUUAAAACGCUCGUAGUUGGAUCAUGCAAUAACAUGUAGUAACACUGGUUGGUAAAUUUGACGAUUCUCUUCUUGAUUAUUGGAUAAUUAUCGACCAGUGUGUUCAUGCUACAUGUUAUUAUUUGCACACAAGUAUGAUAUUUGGGCUUAAGUGAUUCGAGUAUCAUGUCUUGUGGAGUGUGCCUUGAAUAAAACAGAGUGCUCAAAGCAGGCGAACGCUUGAAUGUUGUAGCAUGGAACGAACAAACGUGUAUUUGUGUAUAUUUGAACGGUCGGUGGCAACACUGACUGUUUGGGUAUAUGCAGCACCCGCCGAAAUGCGAAUGUUGGUUUUCGUAUAAGGUGAUGAUUAAAAGAAGCGGUUGGGGGCAUUGGUAUUUGGCCGCGAGAGGUGAAAUUCUUGGACCGGCCAAGGACUAACAGAUGCGAAGGCGUUUGUCUAGACCGUUUUCAUUAAUCAAGAACGAAAGUGGGAGGUUCGAAGACGAUCAGAUACCGUCCUAGUUCCCACUAUAAACUAUGCCGACCUGGGAUCAGUUUAGUGAUUAACAAGCUCUAGGUUGGUCCCCCUGGGAAACCUCAAGUUUUUCGGUUACGGGGAGAGUAUGGUCGCAAGUCUGAAACUUAAAGGAAUUGACGGAAGGGCACCACCAGGGGUGGAACCUGCGGCUUAAUUUGACUCAACACGGGGAAACUUACCUGGUCCGGACAUCGAAAGGAUAGACAGACUGAUAGAUCUUUCUUGAUGCGGUGAGUGGUGGUGCAUGGCCGUUCUUAGUUCGUGGAGUGAUCUGUCAGGUUAAUUCCGGUAACGAACGAGACCACAAUCUUCAUUUGAGAAAUAGUAGUAGGGAGUUGGCUCAGUGGUGUUUCGGCAGCUCUGGGUUGGCUUUCGUAGGUAGAAUUAUUGAAUUUCAUAAAAGUAGCAUUCUGGGCUCGCUCAGGGUGUAAUGUUUAUGAAAGGAUAUGGUUUUCCCUACUGUUAUGCAGUGUUAGGCAAAACCUUUACGCUGCCUCAUGGAGAGACAACAGGUUUAUAAAAGCCUGAGGAAGUGUGGCUAUAACAGG